CCCAAUCGCAGCCCCAGCCCCAGCCCUGUUUCCCAUCCCACCCCCCGCGAGUCCUCCCCUUCUUCCUCUCCCUCUCCCUCGUCCGCCGCCGCCGCCGCCGACGACCUACCUCCUCGGCCGCUGCUCCUCGCGCUCUAUAUGCUCCUCCACCGCAUGGAUUCGUCGAUCCCAUCCUUCUGUGGUUGCCUGCAUCGGUUUUACCCAUCUAGGGUUUCGGUGUGGUCGACCUACUCGUCGCCGGCGAUGCUCUGGUGCGUUGGUCCGUUCGUCUCCGUCUCCUGUCAUGCUCUCUCGUGGUGUUGUGCCUCCUGGAUGGCGCUCCUGUGCCUCGGAUGCAUGCCCCUCUCUCCCGAGCUCGAUGAGAAGCAGCGGCGCCCCCUUUCUCCCGAGCUCCAAAUCCAUCCCAACAGCGCUAAGGUAACCAGCGGCAGAGGCUCCCACCUAGCACCUCUCUCCUCCUGCCCCCUCCUUGCCCUCCUAUGUGUUUUCGAUUUUUUCUGCGUGUGCUUGCACGUUCAUGGAUCUAGAUAGCAGAUUAUGUUUUCUGUGUAAUAUUUCAUAGGCUUAAACUUCAAGGAGUAGAUGUAAUGCUUUUGUCUUUUGCCUCCCUCCAUGUUAUCAGUACAGGUGCCAUCUUCUUAUCCUAGAUUCUUCCAAUCUUAUCAUCUUUAUUUCACUUUCGCUCACAUUUUUCCUUAUUUUUGGCUUGUUUGAUAAGUUCAGUUUGUCUUGCUGCAGGGAUCCUAAUUUGGGCUCUGCUCCAAUCAACAAAUAGAGUGCAACCCUUGAGUUCAUCCCGAUACAGUGGCAGUCACAUAAGAUGGAGCAUGGAAAUGGACGAGCAGUCCAUAUUAUUCAAUUGGGUUUGACUGCAUCUCGUCUAACUAAUAGACGGACAAACACAACUGGAAGAAAAUGAUGGAAAGUACAGCUUGUGGCAAGAAAGUUUCAUUAGACAUUUUGAAAGGGUGGUUUGGUGUGCGAAAAACUGUUGGACUUGAUAGUUAAUGAGCGUGUUGUUAUCAGGGUUCGGGCUGGGUCAUCGGUCUGGGCUGCUCAUGCCUAGGUUUACAUGCAAGUUAUAUGAAAUAUGUGUGUAUAUCUUAAUGUUCUCUACCAGUUAAGAGUGGAGAUGCCCUUUUCUAGGCAUGCAAUGGCAACCUGGUUGAUUGCAGCUUCUUCCUUGAGGUAUUCAAAUACCUGAUAUGUCUCAACAUAUUGAUACUUUUUGUAUGUUUCAUACUCCAAUACUAUCAAUUAUACACUUUGGGCA